UACGUAGGGUGCAAGCGUUAAUCGGAAUUACUGGGCGUAAAGCGUGCGCAGGCGGUUGUGCAAGACAGAUGUGAAAUCCCCGGGCUCAACCUGGGAACUGCAUUUGUGACUGCACGGCUGGAGUGCGGCAGAGGGGGAUGGAAUUCCGCGUGUAGCAGUGAGAUGCGUAGAUAUGCGGAGGAACACCGAUGGCGAAGGCAAUCCCCUGGGCCUGCACUGACGCUCAUGCACGAAAGCGUGGGGAGCAAACAGG
rnacentral:rRNA from 1 species